CGCCAGACUCCUACGGGAGGCAGCAGUGGGGAAUAUUGCACAAUGGGGGAAACCCUGAUGCAGCGACGCCGCGUGAGCGAUGAAGUAUUUCGGUAUGUAAAGCUCUAUCAGCAGGGAAGAAGAUGACGGUACCUUAGGAAUAAGCUCCGGCUAACUACGUGCCAGCAGCCGCGGUAAUACGUAGGGAGCGGGCGUUAUCCGGAUUUACUGGGUGUAAAGGGCGUGCAGCCGGGAAGACAAGUCAGAUGUGAAAUCCCGCGGCUCAACCGCGGAACUGCAUUUGAAACUGUUUUUCUUGAGUACCGGAGAGGUCAUCGGAAUUCCUUGUGUAGCGGUGAAAUGCGUAGAUAUAAGGAAGAACACCAGUGGCGAAGGCGGAUGACUGGACGGCAACUGACGGUGAGGCGCGAAAGCGUGGGGAGCAAACAGGAUUAGAUCCCCGUGUA
rnacentral:rRNA from 1 species